UACAGAGGUCUCAAGCGUUGUUCGGAUUCAUUGGGCGUAAAGGGUGCGUAGGUGGCGCGGUAAGUCGGGUGUGAAAUUUCGGAGCUUAACUCCGAAACUGCAUUCGAUACUGCCGUGCUUGAGGACUGGAGAGGAGACUGGAAUUUACGGUGUAGCAGUGAAAUGCGUAGAUAUCGUAAGGAAGACCAGUGGCGAAGGCGGGUCUCUGGACAGUUCCUGACACUGAAGCACGAAGGCCAGGGGAGCAAACGGG
rnacentral:rRNA from 1 species